UGGUGGCUAUGGCGAGGAGCCUGAACCCGAUCCCAUCCCGAACUCGGCCGUUAAACUCCUCAGCGCCAAUGGUACUUCGUCUCAAGACGCGGGAGAGUAGGUCGCUGCCA
rnacentral:rRNA from 1 species